GACGAACGCUGGCGGCGUGCCUAAUACAUGCAAGUUGAGCGCUGAAGGUUGGUACUUGUACCGACUGGAUGAGCAGCGAACGGGUGAGUAACGCGUGGGGAAUCUGCCUUUGAGCGGGGGACAACAUUUGGAAACGAAUGCUAAUACCGCAUAAAAACUUUAAACACAAGUUUUAAGUUUGAAAGAUGCAAUUGCAUCACUCAAAGAUGAUCCCGCGUUGUAUUAGCUAGUUGGUGAGGUAAAGGCUCACCAAGGCGAUGAUACAUAGCCGACCUGAGAGGGUGGUCGGCCAAAUUGGGACUGAGACACGGCCCAAACUCCUACGGGAGGCAGCAGUAGGGAAUCUUCGGCAAUGGACGAAAGUCUGACCGAGCAACGCCGCGUGAGUGAAGAAGGUUUUCGGAUCGUAAAACUCUGUUGGUAGAGAAGAACGUUGGUGGGAGUGGAAAGCUCAUCAAGUGACGGUAACUACCCAGAAAGGGACGGCUAACUACGUG
rnacentral:rRNA from 1 species